GUACCUAAAACACACAUGGAGGCACCAAGAAGCCAGGAGGACUUCAAGUAACACUCAAAGUAACUCUGAAGAUGCUUUCUCCUCGCUCCC